rnacentral:tRNA from 1 species
GUCCAGGGGCGGGAAUCGAAUCCACAAUCUUCUGCUUACCGGGCAGGUGCCAUGUCCACUAGGCUACCCUGGA